UACGAAGGGGGCUAGCGUUGCUCGGAAUCACUGGGCGUAAAGCGCACGUAGGCGGAUUGCUAAGUCAGGGGUGAAAUCCUGGAGCUCAACUCCAGAACUGCCCUUGAUACUGGCGGUCUCGAGUCCGGGAGAGGUGAGUGGAACUGCGAGUGUAGAGGUGAAAUUCGUAGAUAUUCGCAAGAACACCAGUGGCGAAGGCGGCUCACUGGCCCGGUACUGACGCUGAGGUGCGAAAAGCGUGGGGGAGCAAACA
rnacentral:rRNA from 1 species